rnacentral:rRNA from 1 species
GAUGAACGCUGGCGGCGUGCUUAACACAUGCAAGUCGAACGAAGUGUCGUCAAGCCGCAAGGGGAGACGGCUCUUAGUGGCGAACGGGUGCGUAACACGUAGGUGACCUGCCCUGAGGUGGGGGACAACGGCUGGAAACGGUCGCUAAUACCCCGUAGGCUUGGUUGUUCAGUCAACGAAGUAAAGGCUUUCUUUGGAGAGUCGCCUCAGGAGGGGCCUGCGGCCUAUCAGGUGGUUGGUGAGGUAACGGCUCACCAAGCCGGUGACGGGUAGCUGG